CUGACAAAGGGACCUCAGCCUGAAGAGUCUUAGAAGAACACACAGGGGCAGCUGCUCUGCUCGUGAUCUUUUUACCAGGGAAUGAAGAGGGCAAGGGAUUUUGUUUGACACUGAAAAGUGAAUCAGGGUAAUAAAGGGAAUCAGAAACAGACUGAGAGUCCUCACUAUUAAGCUGAGCCAAAGUGGGAGUUUUACUUAUGACUUCUUCAUCUUGGUAAGGACUAGAAAAAUCAUCGAGACCCAGAAAUGGAGGAUGCCCUGCCAUUUCCUCGGACUUGCAGAGGUAGCAAGUCAGUCUUGCUCUGUAGUCCUGAGUUCAACAUCUUAUCUCCCAAAACAAGCUAGAAGACACUGGGCAUCUGUAGAGUUCAACAGAAGACUCUAGAAAGGCAUAAAUGGAAGGAAGCAGUGGGGAAAUAGGAAGAAGACAGAAGAAUGGAAAUGGGAUUUCUGUGAAUUUUCAAGGGAGUUGGUUUAGCCCCCAUAAAACUAGCAGAUCUGUCCACCUAUGACUAACUUUCCAUUCACCGUUUCCCCUAUAUCAAGCUCAUUGAACUUCAAAACUGUAUGUAGCAAAGAAGAAAAUACAAACAAUGAAAAAAGGACAUGUACUUAAAACUAGCUGAGAUGAGAAGUAAAACAUUUUAAAGAGCAUAUCAAGUUGUGUUAAAAUUCAGAGAACUUACAGAACAAAUAGUGACUUUCUGCAGUGGGAAAAUAGAAAACUUUACACCUACUCUGCUUAAUUUACCUGAGGCAUUUCCAAGCCCAGAUCCUGUGAGUCUGAUUCCAAACUUCUUUUUAUUCUUGUCUGUAAAGUCCU